rnacentral:rRNA from 1 species
UACGAAGGGGGCUGGCGUUGCUCGGAAUUACUGGGCGUAAAGCGCGCGUAGGCGGCCCCGUAAGUCCGCUGUGAAAGUCAAAGGCUCAACCUUUGAAAGCCGGUGGAUACUGUGGGGCUAGAGUCCGGAAGAGGCGAGUGGAAUUCCUGGUGUAGCGGUGGAAUGCGCAGAUAUCAGGAGGAACACCAAUAGCGAAGGCAGCUCGCUGGGACGGUACUGACGCUAAGGCGCGAAAGCGUGGGGAGCGAACAGG